AGACUCCUACGGGAGGCAGCAGUAGGGAAUCUUAGACAAUGGGGGCAACCCUGAUCUAGCCAUGCCGCGUGUGUGAUGAAGGCCUUAGGGUCGUAAAGCACUUUCGCCAGAGAUGAUAAUGACAGUAUCUGGUAAAGAAACCCCGGCUAACUCCGUGCCAGCAGCCGCGGUAAUACGGAGGGGGUUAGCGUUGUUCGGAAUUACUGGGCGUAAAGCGCGCGUAGGCGGACUAUUAAGUCAGAGGUGAAAUCCCGGGGCUCAACCCCGGAACUGCCUUUGAUACUGGUAGUCUUGAGUUCGAGAGAGGUGAGUGGAAUUCCGAGUGUAGAGGUGAAAUUCGUAGAUAUUCGGAGGAACACCAGUGGCGAAGGCGGCUCACUGGCUCGAUACUGACGCUGAGGUGCGAAAGUGUGGGGAGCAAACAGGAUUAGAUACCCUGGUAGUCCACACCGUAAACGAUGAAUGCCAGUCGUCGGGUAGCAUGCUAUUCGGUGACACACCUAACGGAUUAAGCAUUCCGCCUGGGGAGUACGGUCGCAAGAUUAAAACUCAAAUGAAUUGACGGG
rnacentral:rRNA from 1 species